CAGUUGUACUGAAACACAUGGAGCCACAGAUGUUCUGUUUGAAGGAUAUAGUGCUAUUCCAUAUAAAUCACCAGCUGGCAGUUCAGUGGAAAUGUUCCAUCUCUGAAAGGCCAGUUUGAGUGGUGAGAAUUGGGAAACUCAGAAUGACAGCAGCAGCUCUGGCUCUUAGUCAAUAUGAAUCAUCUGGGUAACCAGCUCUGUGACAACAGUGCAAAACCACCACGUAGAGUACAGCAAGUGUUGGAACGAUACAUACCACUUUU